AUCGAUCCUGGGCGGGCUGUGCGCCGUCCUGUGCCUGGCGAGCGCGGCGACGGCGGCGCCGAGGAUCGACCGGCCGUUCAACGACGGCUGGCGGAUG
rnacentral:tRNA from 1 species